CACGCCCUAAACGAUGAUCACUAGCUUUUCGGAGUAUCGACCCUCUGAGAGGCGAAGCUAACGCGUUAAGUGAUCCGCCUGGGAAGUACGGCCGCAAGGCUAAAACUCAAAAGAAUAGACGGGGACUUGCACAAGCGGUGGAUCAUGUGGUUUAAUUCGAAGCUAAACGAAGAACCUUACCAGGGCUGGAAAUUCAGUUGAAAGAUUUGGGAAACCAAAUCCCUCCUUCAAGACAACUGGACAGGUGA
rnacentral:rRNA from 1 species